AACACUGAUCUACCAUUAUUAAGAGUUGCAGUGUGAUUUCUAGAUAUAUACCAGAUAUGUGAAAUGCGGGGAUAUAACUUUGUUUACAUUUCUAAUGUAAACACGAAGCAACAUCUGAACUCAGAACAGAAAGGUAUGGUCUCCUAGCCUAGUAGACCACCACAGUUCCUUCUGGGUAGAAUUCAACCUUUGAUUAUGGAAAAUCACAACAAAAUAACUGAAGGACAAACCACAUCAAAAAUGUGAUUUUCAUCCAACUUCUGGUCCUUACCCCAACCCUGCUUUAUCCUUAUACCUUGCACCGUCUUUUCUGUUCAUGAGUGAGUCCAAUCCGUUUUCUGUUAAGUUCUAUUUUUGCAACCACCGAUUCAAACCAAACCAAGUUCACGUGGAUGAGGAGAAAGUCAGCUGAUUUAUGAUCCAAACAUAUACAAUACUGCCAACUUUACGGAGUUCAUAAAUUCAAAUUAAACUGUGAUUAAACAAAAGUUUUCGUUAAGAGGACCAAUCUAUCUUCCUUCAUUGCCUCCGCCUCCAUCCAUCAAUCACACUUAAACCAUAUUUUACAACCAAGAUGGUGAAAGGGUGUUGCUAAGUAUAAAAUAUGGAACGUCUAGCCGAGGAGGAUGAGGAGGAUGGAGUUCGACAUCGUCUUCAUCGUAUCCAGAGUGACAGAGGAAACAAUGAUGAUGCUAGACCAUAUAAGGUAAU